rnacentral:rRNA from 1 species
AUGGGGUGCAGCAGGCGAGAAAACUUUGCAAUGUGCGAAAGCACGACAAGGUUAAUCCGAGUGAUUUCUGCUAAAGAAAUCUUUUGCAAGUCAUAAAACCACUAGUGAAUAAGGGGUGGGCAAGUUCUGGUGUCAGCCGCCGCGGUAAAACCAGCACCUCAAGUGGUCAGGAGGAUUAUUGGGCCUAAAGCAUCCGUAGCCUGCUCUGUAAGUUUUCGGUUAAAUCCAUGUGCUCAACGCAUGGGCUGCCGAAAAUACUGCAUAGCUAGGGAGUGGGAGAGGUAGACGGUACUCGGUAGGAAGGGGUAAAAUCCUUUGAUCUAUCGAUGACCACCUGUGGCGAAGGCGGUCUACCAGAACACGUUCGACGGUGAGGGAUGAAAGCUGGGGGAGCAAACCGGAUUAGAUACCCGGGUAGUCCCAGCUGUAAACGAUGCAGACUCGAUGAUGCAUUGGCAUAUAGCCAGUGCAGUGUCGCAGGGAAGCCGUUAAGUCUGCCGCCUGGGAAGUACGUACGCAAGUAUGAAACUUAAAGGAAUUGGCGGGGGAGCAC